UGGGAAGCGCCACGUGGCGUCUUCCCGUUGGUUUCUUUCAAGACUAACGUCAGCGAGCGAAACUCACGCGCCAACGGUAAAAAAAAAUAAAUUGAAAUGCGCUCGCUGGUGUUAACGCAACGUCACUGCUGAUGUCACCACCUUCGAGCUUGAGCCCAGGCAAGUUUUACCCGUGGGCUUGCCCGGGCUGGAUUCCUCGCGCUAGAGCUGGAUUUGGGCUGGGGAGGGGGCAUGUUGCCUUGGAAAGGCUGAUGCGUUGCACUUGCCCUAAGGCCCCGUUUGAGAAUGCUUUUUUUCGUUAAAAAUCUAUUUUAUUUUAAAGUUAAGUAGUUUAAGGU
rnacentral:lncRNA from 1 species